CUGAGUGGGUGAAAGUGAACUGUUUGC
rnacentral:piRNA from 1 species